AUUACUUCCUGAUUCCAUUCCUAACUUGUACACUCCUUAUCACUCUACCCAUCAACUACGCCCAGUAUACCAUCGGACAAUUCACCAACUGUCCGCCUAUCGUGCUCUACAGCCGGAUGGCUCCGAUUUUCACGGGAGUUGGAAUAAUGGUUACUAUCGUACAAUACAUUGUGUCAUCAUCUAUCCGAUUUGAUCAUCGAUUCAUUUCCAUGGCAUUUGAGUUUGCUUAUUCACUGUUGACAAAUCGAAAUGCGGUUUUCGCGGACUUUCUCCGAGUAGAGGCAUUUUAAGUGAGUUUUCACAAUAAACUAGUAAAGUUCUGUACAAAAACAGUAUUACAAAAAUUUUGGCCACAGCGCGGACUCGAACCCCGGUGUUGUGGGUCUCAUCCAUCUCUGUUAACCACUAGGCAUUUUUUCACUUUUUCUGAAAAGUCGAUAUGGGUGUCAAAUUGACCGGAAUUUCAGGGAAAAGCCGAAUUUUAAUAUAAAAAUCAUCAAAAAUCAAUAAUUUUCCAUAAAAUCUGAAGAUAUUAAUUUUUUGAUAAAAUUUUUCCAAACAAAAUACUUGAACAAACUUCAAAGUCCCGUUAAAUUCUUGUUAUCCUACACAAACACCUUAAAAUUGCUUAGAAAAAAAUUUUACCACAACGGGGAGUCGAACCCCGGUGUUGUGGGUCUCAGCCAUCUCUGCUAACCACUAGGCCAAGAAUUCAAAAUUCACAUUUUUUUAAAAAUCGAUAUGGGUGCCAAAUAGACGGAAAUUACAUGAAAAUUCAAAUUUUAAAGCAAUAUUUUUACAUUUUUUCAGACGGUUACGCGCCAAAAUGCAGAGAAAACGAGAUUUUCACAGAAAACCGGUGCCGACCGGCGGAUUUCCAUCGAUACGGGUACCUGCAUACAGAUAGGACAUAUCUUCAGGAAAAGCUGAGAUAUGAUCUCCAGUCGGACCCAAUAAUUGCCAAAUAUGCGACUGCUCAGUCGCCGCCGGUUAGGUUAGUUGUAAAAUUCGAAAAAUUCAAAAUUUUUGUGGAAUAUAAUCUUAGAAAGUGUUUAAAAAGUGAUAAAAUGGCAAUAUCAGUGCGAAAAAAGCCUAGAAAAAAAUUUGACCACUGCGGGGAUUCGAACCCCGGUGUUGUGGGUCUCAACCAUCUCUGUUAGCCACUAGGCCAAAAAUCAACUUUUUUGAAAAAUCGAUAUGGUAGUCAAAAAUUACGAAAAUUUCGUGAAAAGCUCGAAUUUUUCUAUAAAAACCUUUGAAAAUCAAUAUUUUUCGAGAAUUUUCAGAGUAUUCGACCCGGCCUACCAACACGCUCACUUCAUUUCCGCUGCAAUCGUUUUAUCGAUUUUUCUGUUUCUGUUGAGCCUACUUGGAGUCCGAAAGUUCAUCUGUGGAUAUCGAAACUACAUUUUCUUCGGAACAAUUCUCGUGUGUGCAGUUGUUCUGCAAAUUAUUAUCGGGGAAAACGAGCGACAGGCGACUAUGCUGAUUGUGGUGAGAAAAAAAUAUGUUUAACAUUUAUUUUACUGUAGAAUUCCCGUCAAUUUGGGGCCAUUUAAGAUUUUCCAAAAAUUUGAGUUUCUGGCCUAGUGGUUAACACGGAUGGCCCCAAGACCGGGGUUCGAGCCCCCGUUGUGGCCAAAUUUUUUUAUUUGUUUUAUUAUGUGGUAACAGCUCCUCAAAAUAAUUUCAAAAAUGCCAAAAGUUGAGUUUUCGAUUUUUUUUGCUAAAAAUAGAUAAUCACUGGGAUUUCUCGAUAGUCAUCGAUUAAAGGAAAUUAAACUGUUAAAAAUCAGAUUUUCCACAAAAUUCCCGUCAAUUUGACACCCAUAUCGAUUUUUCAAAAAAGUUGAGUUUUUGGCCUAGUGGCUAACACGGAUGGCUGAGACCCACAAGACCGGGGUUCGAACCCCCACUAGAGUCGAAUUUUUUUGCGUGUUUUUUCAACUUAUGUAAUUUUUUUCCAGGCUGUUGGAAACGAUUUUUUGAAAAUUCUCGAGUGGAAAACCUGGACAAUCGCUGCAAUUCAUGUAAUCUAGAAUUUCAUUGAUUUUAUUGAUUUAUUUUCGGUUUUUCAGAGUAUGAUAAUGUUUUGCACAGCAAAUGGAACCUAUAUAGCAAUUGGAUCGAUAAAUAAAUUUUCGAAUUGGUGUUUUGUGGACCUGAUAUGCGCCAAAGUUGUCGGAUUAUUUAUGCUUGUACUGUUUGGACUGACUUUUGGAAUGGCAGCCAUUAUUGGGGCGGAGGCAAACUUUUCGAAGUUUGAGAAACGAUCAUUAACAGUCGAUGAUAUCAGUGAGUUACUGACGAGGAAUUUUUGAAUAAAAAAACAAAAAAACACAAUUUUAGUUGGCAAAUCGUAGUUUUCCGAUAAAAUAUUGGUUUUCAAGAUUUUCAGUGGAAAAUUCAAUCUUCCCACAAAAUUCCCGUCAUUUUAAGCACCCAUAUCGACUUUUCGAAAAAGUUGAUUUUUGGCCUAGUGGCUAACGCGGAUGGCUGAGACUCACAAGACCGGGGUUCGAGCCCCACAGCGGGCAAAAAUUUUUUCUUGGUCUAUCUAGCCUGAGUAAACCACUCCGAACUGUUUAGUUUUAAAAUUAUUGAGUUUUUCAAAUUUUUGUGAAUUUCCAGGGGUCCUAAUCCACAAUGAGAAGAACAUUUUCGAGUACAUCUGCGUGUUUUUUUCCAGUCUAUGGCGAAGAAGUUGUUAAUGAUGGUAUUCAUAUUUUUCGUCUCAUUUUGGCAGCUUUCCAGUUUGAUAACUUUUUCUUAAAUUUUGAAAAGUUUUGAAAAAAAUUUCAAAAAAAUUUUUUUUUUCGAAAGAUUUUAUUUUUAGCAAGAAAAGUUUUAAAACUGUAUUUAAAGAAUUAAUUGUUCAAUUUCCAGAUUCUCCUAGCAGAAGGAGCCGUGAAUACCAUCUACAGAUGCUUCAAAAGUACCGCCCGUCUUCCACAAUUUGUGAUGCGCUACUUGUCACUGCUCAUUCAUUGUAGUUUGAUGCUUUUUACACAUUUGCUUUUAUUUG
rnacentral:sRNA from 1 species